rnacentral:rRNA from 1 species
UACGUAGGGGGCAAGCGUUGUCCGGAUUUAUUGGGCGUAAAGAGCGUGUAGGCGGCUAGGUAGGUCCGUUGUGAAAACUCGAGGCUCAACCUCGAGACGUCGAUGGAAACCAUCUAGCUAGAGUCCGGAAGAGGAGAGUGGAAUUCCCGGUGUAGCGGUGAAAUGCGCAGAUAUCGGGAAGAACACCCGUGGCGAAGGCGGCUCUCUGGGACGGUACUGACGCUGAGACGCGAAAGCGUGGGGAGCGAACAGG